CCAGACUCCUACGGGAGGCAGCAGUGAGGAAUAUUGGUCAAUGGGCGGAAGCCUGAACCAGCCAAGUCGCGUGAGGGAAGAAGGCCCUGCGGGUCGCAGACCUCUUUGGACGGGGAGCAAGGCCGCCGACGUGUCGGCGGAAGGAGAGUACCCGUAGAACAAGCAUCGGCUAACUCCGUGCCAGCAGCCGCGGUACUACGUAGGGGGCAAGCGUUAUCCGGAUUUACUGGGUGUAAAGGGGUCGCAGACGGCAGCGCAAGCCAGGAGUGAAUGCCCGGGGCCCAACCCCGGGACUGCUCUUGGAACUGCGCGGCGGGAUUGCGGGAGGUGCAGGCGGAAUUCCUGGUGUAGCGGUGAAAUGCGUAGAUAUCAGGAGGAACCCCGGCGGCGAAGGCGGCCUGCUGGACCGCGACUGACGUUGAGGCUCGAAAGCGUGGGGAGCGAACAGGAUUAGAUACCC
rnacentral:rRNA from 1 species